AUACUUACCUGAUAGGAGAGAGAUACUGUGAUCAUUGAGGCAGUAUCCUCAGGGCGAGGCCUACCCAUUGCACUUCAGAAGGGAGGUUGACCCUUGCAAUUUCCCCAAAUGUGGGAAAGUCGACCGUGAAAUUUGUAGAAUGCAGGAGGCGAUUGAUCAGCUGG
rnacentral:snRNA from 1 species